rnacentral:rRNA from 1 species
UACGUAGGGGGCAAGCGUUGUCCGGAAUUAUUGGGCGUAAAGAGCGUGUAGGCGGCCCGAUUAGUCUGCUGUGAAAGUCCAGGGCUCAACCCUGGAAUGCCGGUGGAUACUGUCGGGCUAGAGUCCGGAAGGGGCGAGUGGAAUUCCUGGUGUAGCGGUGAAAUGCGCAGAUAUCAGGAGGAACACCAAUGGCGAAGGCAGCUCGCUGGGACGUGACUGACGCUGAGACGCGAAAGCGUGGGGAGCAAACAGG